GGGCGGUUAGCUCAGUUGGGAGAGCGCAUGCUUCGCACGCAUGAGGUCGGGGGUUCGAAUCCCCUACUGUCCACCA
rnacentral:tRNA from 4 species